rnacentral:tRNA from 4 species
GGGAACCGUAGCCAAGUGGCUAAGGCAUGAGUCUGCAAAACUUCUAUUCGUCGGUUCGAAUCCGACCGGUUCCUAC